rnacentral:ncRNA from 1 species
CAUCUAUCCAGAGCGGCCGAGAGACCUGGCUCGUCGACGCCGCAGCAACCAUCCGCGCCCCCGCCACGGGGUGCGCGGAACGGUGCUCCCGCCAGGACCGAUGGAGC